rnacentral:misc_RNA from 1 species
AAAACUGAAUGACUAGAUUCCAUUUUUCAAUUUCAGCAUUUCUGAGAAAUAAAACUAAAAACCAGGGUAAACUGUGAAAAGCAUAUCUCAAAUUGCUUCACAUUGUCUUCUCUCUCUAACAAAUUCUGUUUCUGAAAUAGUGACUGCAACUGAUUUUAGAUACUUUGAGGUGAACCCUAACAGCAUGCAAGUCCCAUUAACAUGAAUAUGACAACAAAGCACUCAUUUAAACAUCCAAACACACUAACAAGACUCAUAGUCUCCCAGACAUU